UACGUAGGGUGCGAGCGUUAAUCGGAAUUACUGGGCGUAAAGCGUGCGCAGGCGGUUAUGUAAGACAGAUGUGAAAUCCCCAGGCUCAACCUGGGAACUGCGUCCGAUACUGGAUGGCUUGAAUCCGGGAGAGGGAUGCAGAAUUCCAGGUGUAGCGGUGAAAUGCGUAGAUAUCUGGAGGAAUACCGGUGGCGAAGGCGGCAUCCUGGACCGGCAUUGACGCUGAGGAGCGAAAGCCAGGGGAGCAAACGGG
rnacentral:rRNA from 1 species